rnacentral:rRNA from 1 species
UUAUAGACCCUUAUGAAAGGCAAAAUGAGGGUCCAACUGUCUCUUAUAAUGAAUCAAUUAAACUGAUCUCCUAGUAAAAAAGCUAGAAUUACAACAUAAGACCAGAAGACCCUGUGAAGCUUAAAUAAAACUAUUAAACCAUAUAAUAACUACUUUCGGUUGGGGCGACCUUGGAAAAAAAGAGAACUUCCAAAUAAAAUGACUAUACCUCAUUAACCUAAACAGGCCAACAAGCCAAAAAUGACCCAGCACAGCUGAUAAUUGAACCAAGUUACUCCAGGGAUAACAGCGCAAUCUUCUUCAAGAGCCCAUAUCAAAAAGAAGGUUUACGACCUCGAUGUUGGAUCAGG